AAGUCGUAACAAGGUUUCCGUAGGUGAACCUGCGGAAGGAUCAUUAUCAUACAACGGAGGCGCUGGGGCUGUCGCUGACUUUUGUCGUGCACGCUCGGAGUGCUCUCUAAAAUCCAUCUCACCCCUUUGUGCAUCAUCGCGUGGGCCUCCCUUCUGGCUUGUUCCGAGGGGGGGUUCGCGUUUCUUUCACACGAACACCCUUUUAAAUGCAUGUGUAGAAUGUCUUACUUUUUGCGAUCACACGCAAUCAAUACAACUUUCAACAACGGAUCUCUUGGCUCUC
rnacentral:misc_RNA from 1 species